UGGGGAAUAUUGGACAAUGGGCGCAAGCCUGAUCCAGCCAUGCCGCGUGUGUGAAGAAGGCCUUUUGGUUGUAAAGCACUUUAAGCGAGGAUGAGGCUACUUGGAUUAAUACUCUAGGAUAGUGGACGUUACUCGCAGAAUAAGCACCGGCUAACUCUGUGCCAGCAGCCGCGGUAAUACCGAGGGUGCGAGCGUUAAUCGGAUUUACUGGGCGUAAAGCGUGCGUAGGCGGCUUCUUAAGUCGGAUGUGAAAUCCCUGAGCUUAACUUAGGAAUUGCAUUCGAUACUGGGAAGCUAGAGUAUGGGAGAGGAUGGUAGAAUUCCAGGUGUAGCGGUGAAAUGCGUAGAGAUCUGGAGGAGUACCGAUGGCGAAGGCAGCCAUCUGGCCUAAGACUGACGCUGAGGUACGAAAGCAUGGGGAGAAAACAGG
rnacentral:rRNA from 1 species